rnacentral:rRNA from 1 species
UACGUAGGGUGCGAGCGUUAAUCGGAAUUACUGGGCGUAAAGCGUGCGUAGGCGGUUCGUUAUGUCUGCUGUGAAAGCCCCGGGCUUAACCUGGGAAUGGCAGUGGAAACUGGCGGGCUUGAGUGUGGCAGAGGGGGGUGGAAUUCCGCGUGUAGCAGUGAAAUGCGUAGAGAUGCGGAGGAACACCGAUGGCGAAGGCAGCCCCCUGGGCUGACACUGACGCUGAGGCACGAAAGCGUGGGGAGCGAACAGG